UACGUAGGGUGCGAGCGUUGUCCGGAAUUACUGGGCGUAAAGAGCUCGUAGGUGGUUUGUCGCGUUGUCCGUGAAAACUCACAACUCAAUUGUGGGCGUGCGGGCGAUACGGGCAGACUGGAGUACUGCAGGGGAGACUGGAAUUCCUGGUGUAGCGGUGGAAUGCGCAGAUAUCAGGAGGAACGCCGGUGGCGAAGGCGGGUCUCUGGGCAGUAACUGACGCUGAGGAGCGAAAGCGUGGGGAGCGAACAGG
rnacentral:rRNA from 1 species